AAGAAAUUAGCUCAGUUGGUAGAGCUGUCGUUUUACACACGAAAGGUCAGGUGUUCAAGUCACCUAUUUCUUA
rnacentral:tRNA from 1 species